AUCUGAAGAUGCAUGGAAGAUAGCACUGUGCCCCUGAGAUCUUCUGUACCACCUGGAAAGCAGGUUGUAGGCACACUGGUUUCCUUGAGGAUGUUCUCCUGCAGAUAACGUAUAAGGUCCUGCAAUGUUGCUAGGAUACCCAGCCAUUUAGACGUACUUGUGCCAGCGUGGUAAUAUACUAUAGAUCAUUAAUACCAGGUGAAC